GAGUCUCGCUCUGUCGCCCAGGCUGGAGUGCAGUGGUGCAAUCUCGGCUCACUGUAAGCUCCGCCCCCCGGGUUCACGCCAUUCUCCUGCCUCAGCCUCUCCGAGUAGCUGGGACUACAGGCGCCCGCCACCACGCCUGGCUAAUUUUUUGUAUUUUUAGUAGAGACAGGGUUUCACCGUGGUCUCGAUCUCCUGACCUCGUGAUCCGCCCGCCUCGGCCUCCCAAAGUGCUGGGAUUACAAGCGUGAGCCACCGCGCCCGGCCAGUGCUCUUUAAAUAAAGUUGCAAUUGCUUAAUUAUUUAAAUAAAUGGGAGCUGAAUUAUUUAAGGAUUUGCUGGCAAGACAAAAGGUUCUAGAUUUUCUCACCUACCCCUCACUCAGAAUUUUCAGUCUCGUUUUGUGCUGGCUAACUGUGUUUUCAUAUAUCUGCAAAUCCAGUGACAUCUCUUGGAGUUCUUACCCCAGCUAAGUCCAUGGAUUUUAAAAGUCAAGUUUGAAAUUUUAAAUUGUAUCCGAAUACUUACUUUGAAUAAUGUCUUUUUAUGUAUAUUAUGGUUAAAAUGCACACUUUUACCAGAUUUGAAUUAUCAAGCACCUCUAAUGUGCAGGGGAAAAUAGCAGAGUGGAAAGAAUACAGUUUUGGAAUUUGAAAGACUGGAUUUGGAUUCUGACUCUGCCACUUAUGUGGCUCUGUCACCAUUGCAAAGUUAUUUACCCUUUCUGAGGAUCAGUUUUUUCUUUUGUAAGCCACCUCUUAGGGUUGUGGAGGAGAUUAAGGAAAUAUAUGUAGAAGCCCUUAAUAUAUAGUACCUGGCAAUUAGUAGGCACUCAAUAUGUGGUAACUAUGAAGUCUGCACUGGGUACUAUGUUAACAAUCAGGACUUUACAGGUGGAUAAGACAGAGGUUCCUGUCCUUACUGAGCUGAUAGUCUGGCAGUGGCAAAGCAUUUUAAGCAGAGGGAACAGCAUGAUCAGCGGUAGGUUUGAAAUCAAGAAAGUGCUUGGUUAUUUGGGAACCUGUUAAUGUUCCAGUGUCCCUAAUCUUAACAUUAAUAUAAUUGGAAAUACUACAUUGAUAUGGUGUUUUCGAGGUUUAUAAUACACAUGACAUACAUUAUUUCACUUGAUCCUUGCAAACCUAUGUGGCAGACAGGGAUUAUUGUCUCUAUUUUAUAAGGGAUUUUAGCGAUUUACCCAAAAUCACACAGCUAGUGGAAGAGCCAGGAUUAACAUCCAGGUUCUUGCAUUUCCUAUGCAGUGCUCUUUCUACUGUAACAUUCAACUAGUCCUAUGUCUUAUCUAUAUAUACAAGUGCUAAGCCUUUAAUGAUAAUUUAAUGAGACUUUUAUAAUGUUCUUCUUACUUAAACAUUUUUACUCAAACUCAUCUGACUUAAGAUAAAAUUAUAUAAAAUCAAAUUGAGGUUGUACUUUAGCCUCUGUAUAUAUGUCACUUGUGACUGUAAUUAAAAAAAAAAUUAAAGUGUAGUUAUUCUCCUCCUUGACCCCGUCAAGUAUGUAGAAUCUAAAUGUUACCUCCUAAUUUUACUUUAUAUGCAGUUUUUUUUGUAUCAGUAUCUUUUAAAAUGUCUUACAGAAUGGAUAAAUCACAUACUUUUACAUACAUUCAUAUUUGCUAAGUAUGCAAUUAAUUGCCUCAUCUACCCAGUUCUUACUGUUUAUCUCCUUUAAUGGCAAUAAUGCAUCUUUGGGUGUAUUAUCUUUAAGGGCCCACGUUUGUUUUACUAUAGUUGAUUCAAACAUGUUGGAUUCUUGCUGGAACUAUUAAGAUUAUGGCUCUUUUGCCAUCAUUAAUUUUAAAAAGUAAGUGCUGAGGUGAGAAACGAACUACCUCAGGACAUCAACCUCCAUUCUGUUUCGCUUUUUAGAACUGUGCCACUAUGCCAGUUGUAGGAUGUUCAGCAUGAAAGGCUCCACUUCUCAGAUGGAACUUACUUGAACCCUGGAGUUGCUUUUGGAUCCCGCCAGUUAUUGGCAUUUCCAAAUAAGAAUGCAGAGCAUGCAAUACGCUGCUGUCAACUUGAUCUUUGAAUACAAAGUUGUGGAUAGAAAUGCUAAUGAACCAGCGAUCUGUGAAGUACUUCACCGUGUUGGCCACACAGCAAAUUAACAGGUUCUUUCCUCUUAGGAGGAGGAGUUUUUGAAGGGACGGUCUCUUUUUGUCUUUUGUAGGGAAGUUAUUUUAAAGUUGUUUUCUUUAGUUAGGGACAAGGCUCAUCAGGUGUGUGUGUUGGCUACUCUGGCCACAGAACAUGUGUGACUUUCCUGGCAUAUUCAGAGAAUUUCUUAAGACACUUGACUCUACUGGAAUCUUUUCCAUAGUUACAAUUGUCAUUGAACAUUCCAGGGGCUUCAUCUACAUUUUGAGUUCUUAGUACAUUACUAUUUAGAGGUAUAUAUGAGCAUUUUCCACCAGAGACCAAUAUUUCUCUCUCUCUCUCUCUAUAUAUAUAUAUAUUAUUAUUGUUUUUGCCUUUGAAGUACCUCUUUUCUUAGAGAUACUCUUGCCACCACCCUCCACUUUUUUUUUUUCUUUUUUUCUCAAAACUCACUGAAGAUGUCCAAAGAAAUACAUGAACUUUUCAGUGGGAGUUGCAUGUGAUUUUUAAAGCAUCUUCUAUGUGGCCUUUUAAGUUUCUGUUUUGAUUUUGCAAUUGGUUGGAAACGAAGGAAACCUCAAGCUAGUAGCUGAUGAAAUCCAAAAAGGACUUGCCAUGUUAAUAACAAGAAUCUGAAAAAGAAAAGAAUCUAUCUGAAAAAGAGUCCAGAAAGGGUUCACUGCCACUCCUUUGAGGCUUUUUCCAGUCUCACCUAUUAGAGAAGUUAUUCACUCUAUCAUUAUGGAUUGAAGGAAGGUCUAGAAAUUUCCUCUCCAGCACUUCCAAGAAGGUGAAAGUUCUUAUUUUAUGGGCUGGCAAGGAAACUGGGGGAGAAAGGGAAAUGAUUUCUUUCUAAAAUACCAGAAGAUAAGGUGCCACACUUGUCCCUUAAGAUAGAUGGACAGAUAUACAAUAUAAGCUCCUGUAUGAGGUACAUCUUUUAGGAUGAAAUUGACUGAAGGAUUGAUCUUUGACCGAAUCCUGUUUGCCUGACCUAAAAUGAACUCCUGGAAAGACCAAAGCCUUAUUGGCUGCACCAAGAGAAGAUAGGACCUUGCCCAAGGAUGGGAGAAUCCUGGCCUUUAGUCAGAGACAGCAGGUUCUGGGCUAGGAGACUGGAACAAAAGUCUCGUUCACAUAAUCAGAGGAAAUCUUGGGUCAUCUGAACAAGUGGGCGUCAUAACCAGUGAUUUUCGCUUUAUUUCUUGUGUAAGUGAGCUCUUCCUUGUGGAUGAUUCCCACUCCUCCCGCCCCUGCCAAACCUUAGAAAUUUUAAAAAAGAAAUUACCAUGGUCAAGUUAGUUAACAAGCAAAUGGGGAGUACCUUCUAGACCUAGGAGGACAUAUCUUGUAAGUUAAUCCAUAUUCAUUCCUUGAAUAGUUCUCCCUCGGUUUCUCUUCCAGAAGUUACAGCCAGCUUUGGGUCCUCCAUUCUUGCCUUGAGGAAAUUUCCAAAAAGUUUUUUUUUCCCUCCAGCCCCAGAUGCUCUCCUGGCUCUUUCCAGGACUCUCUAGGGGACUGGCUUUUGAUGGUUUCCAGAGUGUAAUCCUAAUUCCACCAGUGUUUUAUACACAUUGACUCCUCUGAUUGUUUCCCUGUAGUUAGGAAAGAAGCCCAGGCUGGUUAGGAACCUCCUCUUAUGCCUAAAUUAGCAAGGAAAAGUGUUUCACCCAUUUCCAUGGUCAUGGUAUCUCUACUUCAAGAAGAAUCUCUGUGGGAAUUGCUCAUGUCUUAAACUAAAGCCAGUGACUACACUAUACCUAUUAAGUGGUCUGUAGGGGAUAUUUGAAUGAAUGAUAAUAGUUGCUGCUGUUACUUUAAUAAUGUCAUAAUGUUUUUGUUUCAUACAACUUACUGAAGUUUAGGACUUGUGUGCAAAUCGCUACCUAUAUCCUUUUUCACCUGGGACCUCCUACUUUGUGAGCCCUCAGCAAAUGUAGGAUAAUCAAGAGGGAGGAAAUUAGCCUUGUGGCUGUAACGGAUAUCUUCAAACGGCUACACGUGGUAAAACCGUGGGAUUGUGCUGAAUUCUUACAUACCUGUAUCAAUGCAGAAAGACCCUCAAAAAAAUUACAGCCCUUUCCAUAGUGGAACUAAUCGUAAUAUAAAAUAAGUGGCUGUUAGGCUUCUUUCAGGUCUUGAUAACUUAGGCAAAGCAGAUAAUUAAUACAACCAAGAUGACAGUCGGCUAUAAUUGGCUGCUUAUUAUGAAGUUUAGACAUUUUCCUCCCUUCUAUCUCUGGGAGAAAGAAAUUGCUCUAGCAUAUGUGUGUAGAAGACAUAAAACUUGCUACAGCAGUAUUUUUAUUUCCAAAUUAUUCUUAAAGCUAUUUAAAAGUCACCACAGAAUGAGCUUUACAGAAGCAAUUUAACGGCUCCUUUAGGUUUUUGUGUAAAUUCAGAUAACUGAAAUGUUAGCCUUGAUUGAUGAUUAAAAAGGAAGGAGGUACACCAAAGCUGAUGGUGAGCUCUGGGUAUACAGGAUAAAGGAAUUGGGGUUGUGGGGGAAGGAUCUCACCAUAGUCCCUUAAGUUUUUUUAUAGAAUUUCUGUUGUGAUUGGUAAUGUAAGGAGCAUUUGAAAGAUGAUCGUUAUUUGAGAAAUGUUUCUGAACUAGAAACUUGCAAGCUUUGAAUCCCGUUAAUACUCACUGGCAAUGAUAGCCAUUUUCCAUUCCAUGAGAUCAAUUUGGAACUUGAGCAUAAUUUUAUUUCUGCUUCACAGUUCUUAAAAUCCUGUUUGGAAAUGUCAUUAGGAGGAUAAGGGAUGUAAUGAAAAAUACGUUUUCUCAUGUACCAAAUCAAAGUGUAUAGUUAUGGAGCUGGCUAUCUAUACUGAACAACAGUUAACAAAAUGAAUUGGCUGCUUUCUGCAUUUGAAGUUGUAUAGUGUAAAAUUCAAUGAAACAUUCAAUAACUGGAAAGAUCACAUCAGCAUCAAGGAUGCAUUUAGCAGGUUUCCUCCUACCAUAUUACUAGGAUAGAAGCACAGUUUAGAACUAGGGAUAAAGGCUAUGAAUGAAGUUAAAAAUUGUGGGAGGCCUGGAAAUAGAAAGAUAAGUAGGAGUGACUGGGCCUGGAAACUUGGACUUGGAUGCAAGUGAAGGAAACAGAAAGAUGGGCCUGUGUGGACCAGUAUUUUAUGAUUGGUGCUCUUGUCAGUAUCUUCCACUGAAGGCUGAAAGUUAUUUCUUGAAACUAGCAUCUGUCACACCCCUCCUUAAGGCAAAGGACCUUAUUUUUGGUGGUUGAACUUGCUGGGUCAAACAGAAUCACUAUGCCUGAUUCUCAUGUUCUAUGGAAAGACAUAGGGUGGGGUGAAAGCAGCUUUUUUUCCAUUCAGCGUUUUUAGCAGCUUUUUUAGAGUGAGGAGUUAUUCCAUGAGUGAAUGAAUGGAAUGAAUGAAUGAAAAAAAAAUGACCAGGUUUGUUUUUCUUGGAAAGCUUUUAUUUCCUAUAAAGAGAUACGGCAUAAUUGUGUUUUCCCUGGCAUAAAAUGAAAAAUAAAAUCUAGCAAAAUGCAUACUUAAGGGAUGUGUGUGCGUGUGUGUAUGUCACUGUAAUAUAUAAUGAGACUGUUGAACUCUCUAGAAUGUUUGGAGCUAUAAAGUUUAGCUGUUUUGAAAUAUUGCUUUGUUAGAUAUUGGCUUAGGGAAAUACAUGUUUUCGUAUAAAGCACCGAAAGCAUUCAGUGAUGGCAUUGUCGGGAAGUGUACCUUGCCUUCUUAAGCGGUAGAUGCAACUUUUAAGAAUGCAAAUUUGAAAAACUGACGGGGGAAAAUUACAAGAAGCUUACAUAUUCUUGAAUUUUCUCCAUCUGAGUUUUAAGUAGGCUGUUGUUAGGCUGGAGCUGCUUCUGAUUAUGACUGUUCUAGGGGGAAAACACAGUUUUACAGGACUGACCUUAAGUGCAAAAUGGAUAGUAAUUCAAAGCCCCGAGGGGGCUUAAGAAAUGAAGGUAGCUUAUUGGUUUUGGCAGGGAAAGGGUUGUCUGGUAAGACCAUUGAGUCCUGUAGCUGAAAAUGCUGACAAGCUGAGCAGAGAGCAUGUGUGCUAUACCAAGAACAAUCAUUAUUUUCAUUGGCAAAAUGUAUUGCUCACAGUUUUGGGUAGUCUGUCCAUUUUGUCAGUAAUUUAAUGUAGGUUGAAAAAGGCAUGGAAUAUAAACCGCUAUUGUUGAGCAUCCCUGCAGGCAUACCUGGCAGGUUCCAUUCCAACUUUUAAUGAGGAGCCUUGCUUUAUGUUGGGGUCCGCUGGUGGCUUGCAAUAUCUAUUUUGGGGUGUUUUAAGAUGGGGGUUAGCUCUUGAAAUUGGACAAGGUGCCUGCAUAAAAGAUGAUGAGAUAUUUUUUCCCUCUUGGUCUCUGCUCCUUGUUAAAUUGGUAAUUAGGCGAGACUUUCGGACAGAAGUAAAAAUACAGAUGACAUGGGAUUGUGUCUAAGGUGAUAGCUUUCCUUUCAUGGGAAGAAUAAUCCUGAGGAUUGAAAUAAAGAAUUUGAAGUAGAAACUUAAUACAUUUGAGAUCUUCUAUAUUUUUAUAGUAAUUUUAUUUCACAAUAUGUGCCAAUAAUACAUGAUACCUUGAAUAAUGUAUUUUUGUACUCCUUUACCCAAGAAUUAAGCUGGUACAUUUGCAAGAGGAGGAAAUACAUGUUGACUUUGUGAUAUUGCUAGUAACCCCAUUCUUUUUCUUUCUUUUUCUGGGAGUGGUGCUCCACCCCACCCCACCCCCUCCAGCCCCCAACACACAUUCAUGGGUUAUUCUUGGCUGGGAAAUGUUCUAUGUUUUCUAAAAUUUUUCAAAAUGUUGCAGUUUAUGAGUUGAAAAAUGAGAAAAAUGGUUACUACUUAAUUUUUUAAUGUUUUAUAUAUUAAUUUGAUUCUUCAGAUCAUUUUGGGAAUAUCCUUGGCAAGAAAAAGCUGGCAUUUUCACACAUUGUGGCAUUGUCUUUAGGUCAGACAAGCAAGUUGCAGAAAGAAUUUUCUAAGCUGUGUGUUGAAUAAGGAGACAGUUAAUUCUGAGGCAGCCCUCUUUUUUUUCUAAUCAGAUUUAUAGCAGAAAGUAUUGGGACUAACUUAUUCACACUUUUCCCUAACUUAUUCAUAUUCUACUUAUACCAUAUAGGAAUUUUGAUAGUUAAAAUAGGCCCAUGUUCUAAUCAAAACAGAAUGAGAAAGGGAAACAAUUGCCUUUUAAGAAUAGGGAUGAGAGGCACUCAAUCAUUUAUAGUUCUUCUCAUGAUAUGUGCUGUUUAUGGAAUACUAUAUGCCAGGCACUGGUCUAGAAAACUAUUAAUCUGUGUGCAAUCAAGAGAGAGGAACCACACAGUAAUUUGAAUAGGGAAAGCUUACUGUGACUCGUUAAUUGUAACAAGGUAUUGGAAUAAUGAGGGACUUGCUAGUAAGAAGUAAGGAGAAUUGUAAAGAAUGUAGGAAUAGCAGAUCUAAUGAGCAACCAUUACCCUGUGCUAAGAAAGAGCACCCAAGAAAGAACACCUUUCCCAAGCUGAGAUCCAGGUUGUGUUGGAGAGGACACAGCUAUGGCUCACCGUAGCAGAGAAGUUGCUGUGGUGCUGUGGAACUUGCUGGAAUUCCACCCUCUAAUAUGCUGGGGAAAACCAUUCAUGAGAAGGUGUCUCUUUGGAGACACUCUGAUACAAAAUUGUGUGAUUAGGGUGCCAGCAAAGCUACCAGCCACCAUUUGCUCCUGGCUGCUCUGCUCUGCAGGAUCCAGGCACUGGGGAAUCUGUGUGUACCUGGAGAUGGAUGCUAGAGAAGCUCAGUUCUGUGUGUACCUGGAGAUGGAUGCUAGAGAAGCUCAGAUGCCUGUAGCGCCAUCUACUGAUAAAGAUUAACCUUAUGUCCGAGGGUAAAGGAAAAACAUUUAAAGGGCCCAGAUCCAUUUUCACAAAGCAGACAAAAAGGGUGAUUUUGAAGCUGAGAGGCAAUGAACUGAUGAUGGGCACAGAAGUCUAUGCUGCUGCUUUUUAAUCCUAAAGAGAUUAGAAGUAGUGAAAUGGGAUUAUAUAUCCCAUUUUACAGGUGAAAAGAUUUCUUUAAGCUUAGAGAGAUUAAGUGACUUGUUCAGGGUCAUAUAGUUAAUAAAUGGCAGGCACAUUUCAAAAUUAGAUUUGCUAUUUUCUAAGGCCCGUGUCUUUCCAUCAGCCUUUUUGGAAUACAGAUACUAACAAGUCUAGAAAUUGGCGGUUGUGCCAUAUGUUCUUGUCUAGGUAUUAUACUAGAGAUCACUAUUUAUUCAUUAUUUAGUUCGCUUCCAGCUGGUCCUACAGAUGAGGGGAGUUAUGCAGGUGAGUACCUGUUAUGUUUGUACCAUACAUCAGAUUCUGAAACUUAAAGGAAUAGUUUGUAUCUACUUUAGUGGAGUCCCUGAAACCUCUUUUUUUCUACCUGUACCUUAGCUGUGUUAGUUACAGUUCAGGAUUCAUGCCUGUUUGCUCAUUUGGCAGCUCCCAAGGGUCUCAACUUGGGUUCCCUGGAGGGUAGGGGCAGAAGAUGAUGGAUCCUGGUUUUUUAUUUGAAAUGUUACUUUUUCUCAACCUAGCUUCUCUCCCCAGGGAUACCCCUCCAGGACAUGCAACCCUUGGUUGUCUCCUAGUCGAGGCUGAGGGUACAGCCUUGCUCUUUCGAAACAGCAGUGGUCCUAUUAGGCUACAUAGGUUUAUCUCACUUUUUUUUUUUUUUUUUUUUUUGAGAAGGAGUCUUGCUCUUUCACCCAGGCUGGAGUGCAGUGGUGCAAUCUCGGCUCACUGCAGGCUCCGCCCCCUGGGGUUCACGCCAUUCUCCUGCCUCAGCCUCCUGCGUAGCUGGGACUACAGGUGCCCACCACCUUGCCUGGCUAGUUUUUUGUAUUUUUUUAAUAGAGACGGGGUUUCACCGUGUUAGCCAGGAUGGUCUCGAUCUCCUGACCUCGUGAUCCGCCCGCCUCGGCCUCCCAAAGUGCUGGGAUUACAGGCGUGAGCCACCGCGCCUGGCCCUAUCUCACUUUUGAGUAAUAGAUUCAUACCUCAAAUUUUUGUAAAAGAAGUGUCAUUUUCAUACUGAUUUACACUAUAAUUUUUAGAACUCCUUUAUCACUUGACUUUGGGUGAGUUACUUAACCUCUCUGGGACUUAGUUCUUUUAUCCAUUCUUUAAUCUAUAAAGGGGAAUGGCCUUUCCAAAGCUCCUCUCAUCUUAAAAACACUCAGUGGCUAUUUCUAGUUUAACAUCUUUUGGCAGCAAUUCCAAACAUGUGAGCCUUCAGUUGCUGAUCCUGUCCCUGGCAAGUAGUUGCUGGAUUACAAAUAAAUGGAAGGUAGUGUGAUGUGCUAGUGAGAAUGUGACUGUGGACUCAGACCCAAAAGGGUUGGAAUCUUAACACCUCAGAACUUAGUAGUUAUGAGGCCUUAGGUGAGUAAUUUAUUUUUUCUGUGUCUUAGCCUUUUCCUUUGUGAAAUGAGAACAACAAUGCCUGACCCAUUGUAUUCUGAUGAGGAGUAAGAAAAAUGAUAAUAUGUAAAGCACUUUGUACACUUGCUGGCACAUAGUAGGUGUUCUAUAAAUGAUAGAUAUUAUUAUUCCCCAUGAAAUUGGAAGCUCCUUGAAGGCAGGGACUCUGUCUUAGUCAUCCUUAAAUUACUGAUAGUACUAGAUAUCUAACAGGCACUUAGUAAUAUCACCCUUUUGAACUGAAGGAAAGUCCUUUCCAAGUUGAAUCUUUAUAAAGUAAAUACUUUUUAUGUAAAUAAUCACCCUGGAGUUUAUUUGAUAAGUUUGGAUUGCAUAUAUUCUUCUGUCUUAAAGCAGUACAUUGUUAUAAUUGUAUUACCUCUCUCUCUCUCUCUUGUUUUUUCUUUUUUGACAGGUCUCACUUGAUCACCCAGGCCGGAGUGCAGUGAUACAAUCUUGGCUCACUGCAGCCUUGGCCUUCCUGUUCUCAGGUGAUUCUUCUACCUCAGCCUCCCGAGUAGCUGGGACUACAGGUGCACACUACCAUGCCCAGCUAAUUGUUAAAUUUUUUGUAGAGACAGGGUGUUGCCAUGUUGACCAGGCUGUCUCAAACUCCUGGCCUCAGGUAAUCCAUCCGCCUCAGCCUCCCAAAGUGCUGGAAUUACAGGCCUGAGCCACUGAGCCUGGCCCCUUAAAUUUCUUGUUAGUAAUUUUCAAACUACACAGUUCUUUGAUUUUUUUUUUAAACCAUGAUUGCAUGGUAUAAUAGUGAUAGUAUAACAUUAUUAUGGAUUUACUAUGUGCUAGUUAUUAUUCCAGGCAGUUUAUACCUACUAAUUUCUUUAAUAUUCAUAGCCUUCUCAUUACCUCUAUUGUCUAUAUAAGAAACUGAGGCACCAGCCAGUUAAGUAACUGGCCCACGGUCCUGAGCUGUAAGUGGGGAAGUAGUGGUUUGUCCCCAAGCUGAGUGCUUAUCACUGCUAUGUAUGUUAUAUUGCUUAGUUCAGCUCUAGUUUUGAGACAUUUUACUAAAUAGAGGUUAUUGAUGAAAACCGGUCAAACCCAAAUCAGCCUGAGUCUAGAAUGAAAGGGAAGGCAUAUACUUCAAGACAGGUUGACAUAAAUCUAUUUUUAGUCAUUUAAAUACAUUUUUGAGAAUUGCUUUCCCCCUUCCAAAUAAGUUCUGAGAUCAGGAUGAGCAAAAGCCAAACACUUAUUUUUUAUGUUUUGAGAUUAAAAUUGUGUUCGUCACUAUGUUAUAGUCAUUAGUCCCCUACUGUGCUUCACGCAUAGCCUCUCCUCACCCCUCCACAUGCCUGCCCUCUGCAAAUAUGUCACAGCAACAACAAACUUUAUCUUUUUACAUCCCAUCUUCCUUACAUAGAAGCUAUGGUUGAUUUCUCCCUCUAGUGUUUCUAAUCUGCUUACUGACCUUUGCUAUUUAAGCUGACUUUUAAACAUGAGGAAGAGAGGCGAAUUGAUUUUCUACUAGUAAUGUGAAAAAUUAGCGAUUUAAUUUCACAAUAUUUGUAAAUAAGAAAAUGGGACCAAUGGCCUAGUCUCAGAUUUCAUUAAUGACUUCCCAGAAGUUGUCCUCUAGCCCCUACCUCCAGUCGUGUGGACACAGAGAACAGAGAACUAUGGAACCUGAAUGAAGUGCAUGUUCAGAUGCCAACAGAUGAUUCCAUUUCUCCCUUUAGUUUAGUAACAACAUUAUUUUCACUGUUCGGAAAAAGAUUGGCUUGGUAGACAUUAGGAACCACUUUAGUCAGUGUGGAUAAAUGAAAAAACAUAAGUGAUCAGCUUUCAUCAUGACAAAUGGAAACUGUCAUUUAAUUUUUAUCCCCAAUUAUACAGCUCCAGGACCAAUUUCUCAGGUGGAAUGUUGGAGCCAUUAAAAAGAAAUAAGUAAACUAUACCAUAUUCCAUCAUUUUUCUGGCAGCUAACCAAUGAUCUGUAGCCUUAUUACAUGUACAUUUUUAUAGAGAUAUUUUUCUCUUAAGUUUGCAGAAGGCUUUAUUAACUCUUUACUGAUUUCUUCUGGAAUGCAUUUUUCCAAAUGAAUUCCUUUUUUCUUUUUAUCGCUGAGUGUUGGUUGGGAUUUACUUUGGUUUUCUCUGGAAGCUAUACUCAUUUUCUUCUUUUAUUUAUUUAUUUUUUUUGAUUACUAGAAUUGCAUGGAGCCAUAUUUCUUUAAUUCCAACUGAAGUUAUAUUAGUGGUCCUAACAUUGAUUACAGACUACGUUAAUUUGGAUUUCAGAAUGUGAUUUAUUAGAAAUAUAGGACACACAAAAAGACCCAACCAACCACCUUUUGUCUCUUGCCUUAAAGUGAUACUGAAAAAGUUGGGUAUCCCCAAAAGGCGUGCUCCCAUAGCAUUUGUCCAUUCUUCUAAUAGGUCACGUUGUAAUUUGCUAGACUUCAUCUUCAUGUUCCCCAGUAAUUUGAAAUCUUGGUACUGUGGAUACCUUUCUAUUUGGCUGAGUUAUCUUUGCAUCCACAAACUUAGCAGACUGCUUGGCACAUACUGGGUAUGCAAAAAAUGUUUUUUGAAUGACUGAUUCAAUGCUUUUUUUAAUUUCCUUUUGGGACUAUUUGUAAUUAAAAAUUAUUUAACAAUAUUGAAAUCUAGUCUCUUCUGAGGACGCUAAAACCCUUUACAAUUAUGUGUGUGGUUUUAUUUAUUCCAUAUAGAAAAAUUUUACAUGCAGUGGGUAGCCUUUGAAUUUUCCAGGUGGGAGAAAUUGAGAUCAAAUGUUACUAAUGAUAUUAAGAACUCCAGAGAGAGGCAAUGCUGUGAUUGGAACCGUUGACUUCUGGGUUCCAAACCCUUUUUUCUCCCCAAGCUACAUAGCUUUGGGUGUUUCUGCUCAGAUUGUACAAUCUGCCAUUACUUUUAUUAUCAAAAAAUGUCGCUGAUUUAUUUUUGAUGCAUAAUUAAUAUAGAGAGUGGUGGUGAGAAUGAUGGUCAGAAGAUCGGUUGUUUUGGUUUUGGAGAAGCUGGUUAAUGGAUGAGGUCUAUUAGCUGUGUAGAUCUACGUACAGAUUUUCUUUUUUCCCCUUGGUGUUCAAAUCCUUUCCCCUUCAUUCACCUAAUUAGUAAUUCACAGGAGCCUUUGGCUCCCAGCCUAAGAAUAUUUGUAUCUACUCGACUUUAGCUUCAGAAUAAACUUAAUUUUCAAUAAAAGAGGUACUGAAGUACAUUAUAAACAAUAAGGCAACAUUUUCUUCAGAUGUAUGCCUUGGCAUAUGCUUAGAGGAGAAAUGAUACCCUCUUGUAUCUACUUAUAAAACUGUCAUCUGGUACUGUUACCAUUAGAAUAUGCAAGUAAGCUUAUAAACAUGCUGAUGAAAGGAUUCUUUUGGCUGGCAACCUUGUUAAGUAAAAGGUGUUAAAUCAUGUAUCUUGUCCUCAGGGGUGGUGGACUAAACAGCUGCUCUUAUCCUUAUUAAUGACUGUAGACUCCUGUUUCAGAAGAAGCAAAUAACCUUUUGUAAGAGUUGUUAUAAUAUCAAGAGUUACUUUUAGUCAAGCUCUUUAUUGGGAAUAUUAAUAUAUAGUGUAGCUUGGCAAACAGCAAAAAACCCUAGCAGUUUGCAAAUGGUUUUCCUAGUUUCUUUCCCAGGAGUGAUAGGAGUAGAAGACUCAAAUAAACACACGUAAUUGCUGAUCUGUCAUAAAUCAUUCUUUGUGGUAGGUAUCUACUUUUCUGUCUAUUUGCUUGUGAUAUAAAUGAGAAAUUCUCUCGUGCCAUUUUGUUGGGGUGGAGUGUUGGGAUUUGGGACUGGUCAGUCAUAGAAUUGCAGAGUUAGAAGGGACCUUAGGGGUUGAACUCAGUAUAGUACAACAUCCCAAAGCUUUAGAGUGAGCCCUUUCAUUUUGGGUAGCUGUAAUAUUAGAAUGCUUUUUCACAUAUUAUGAUUGUGUUUCUUAUUCCUUGUGAUGUUCACUCAUUGGUCCCUUGCCUUGCUUCCCAGGGUCUAAUCCUUGUUUGUUACCAUCCAUCUAGUGUGACAUCGUUGACUGUGCAUGUCCUUGACUCAACCUGGCCCUCUCUCCCACAACUUAGCACAUGCCUUUUAUCUUCUUGUACUUUUUAUAUAUCAUAUUACAUUUCCUUGGUGUUCACUUGGCUCCAUGCUGAACUGAAUUCUGUGAAGGUAGGGAUCAGAUCAUAAUGCAUCAUAGAAUUUUGGGUGCCUAGUACAAUGCCCAGUCCUCAAUAAUAUACAUUAUUGAAUGUGUAUUGUUCUCGUCAGCUUAAAAUAGAACUAUCAUGGGUUUUUGUUUGUUUGUUUGUUUUAGCUUGUUUGUUUUUCCUAUAGGUAUAGCUGUUAGGAUGCCUGAUUACACAUUGACCAUUGAACUUAAGAUCAGUUGAAACUUUCAGGGCUGUCAGAGUUGCCUGAUGCAGGGUUUGGGGAAUUGUAAAAUAACGGAAGGGGCUAGAGGUGUCCUAGAACAACUUCUCAUUGAUUUCAGAGUCCACAUUUCUAUCUGGAUAUUAGCCUGUAGCAUCCAAGUGAUUGGCGUGAAUAAGUCAGUACCUUGCUCAUUUUCUAUAAAGUUUGAUCAUGUUCACAAAUUUAAUAGCAUAGUGAUAAAUUUCUCACACAAAAAUCCCUCAACAUAUCUUUAUAUCAUGAUAGAAAAUCACCUACUGUUUCCAAGCAGUGAGCUUAAUCUUUUCUUCAGUGUUUUUGCAGUUCCACAUAGGAGUUACAAUUAUUAUUAAAUGUCUUGGGUAGAGGUGAAACAGCAUUCUGGUUUUUUGUUUUUGAAAUCUGUGUUUGUCUUAUAUUCAAUAUCUCUGCAAGCUUUACACAUUUUGUAUUUGAAUGGUUAAACCUUCAAGGCUAUUGAGUCAUCAUUUUCUUUGGUGUGUCCCACCAUUUCUGUGAGAUACAACACACCCCACCCUUUUCAUGGAAUGGGAGAAGCCCUCAGCCAGCAUGUAUAAGAUUUCUAAGCCUACAGGCACAAGCAUGAGCGGGCAGGACUUCACUCCUUUGGCCCUCGUCGUUAGUUUUACUUUUUUUUUUUUUUUUAGAAGAAAAAAAGACCCAUGUCCAUAUUGCUAAAAUCAGUGAUUGAUAAAAUCUUGAACUAAACUUGACAUAGGUUCCUGUACUUGAAGAAGAGGUGGUAGGAUCAUCUGAACCGAGGAGUUUGGGACCAGCCUGGGAGACAUAAUGAGGUCCUGUCUCCACACACAAUUAAAAAAAAUUAGUUAGGUGUGGUGAUGUGCACCUGUGGUCCUAGCUACACUGGAGGCCAAGGCGGGAGGAUCGCUUGAGCCCAGGAGGUUGAGGCUGCAGUGACUCAUGUUCAUGCCAGUGUACGCUAGCGUGGGCAACAGAGUGAGACCCUAUCUUAAAAAAAAUAAA